ACAAGGUUUCCGUAGGUGAACCUGCGGAAGGAUCAUUAUUGAAUGAACUUGAUGUGGUUGUCGCUGGCUCUCUCGAGAGCAUGUGCACGCCCGUCAUCUUUAUCUUUCCACCUGUGCACCCUUUGUAGACUUGAAUAGUAUUUUCUGAGGUAACUCAGUUGUGAGGAUUGCUGGUUUUCAUCAGCUUUCCUUGAAUUAUUCAAGGCUAUGUUUUCAUAUACCCCAAAGAAUGUAACAGAAUGUAUCAUUGGGCCUUGUGCCUAUAAACUAUAUACAACUUUCAGCAACGGAUCUCUUGGCUCUCGCAUCGAUGAAGAACGCAGCGAAAUGCGAUAAGUAAUGUGAAUUGCAGAAUUCAGUGAAUCAUCGAAUCUUUGAACGCACCUUGCGCUCCUUGGUAUUCCGAGGAGCAUGCCUGUUUGAGUGUCAUUAAAUUCUCAACCUUUGCCAGCUUUUACGAGUUUGGUAAUGGCUUGGACUUGGGGGUUUUUUUGCUGGCUUCGUUAAGAAGUCUGCUCCCCUUAAAUGUAUUAGCCGGUACCCGUGUGGAGCCGUCUAUUGGUGUGAUAAUUAUCUACGCCGUGGACUUUCACUUUAAAUGGGUUGUACUGCUUCUAACCGUCCAUUAAGUUGGACAAUUAUUGACAAUUUGACCUCAAAUCAGGUAGGACUACCCGCUGAACUUAAGCAUAUCAAUAAGCGGAGGAAAAGAAACUAACAAGGA
rnacentral:rRNA from 1 species